GGCACUGGUGAGGGGCUUUGUGGCUGCACUCGUCUUUGGCCUCGGAGUCUUCUUUGUCAUCGAUGCCCACAGCCUCUGGAUACGGAGAGAUGACAACUGUGGUGCCCCCCCAGUGACAGUGAGCAUCUGACCUACGCCGAAAUUCAUGUUGUGACCCCUGCUCCCCGGCCACCCAUCAGCCCCCCAUUAUCUACACCCAUGUGGGCAGUGGGGGACCCCUGCUGAUACCCCCACACCCGCAGUGCUUCAUUUUUAAGGUGCUCUGAAUGGGACACACCCCAAAUUCCCCACUUGGAGCUCCAUGAUACAGCAAUCCCAUCCAUAUACCCCUAAAUCCCAAGAAAUCAAACAUCCCCAAAUCCUCCCCUGUGCAGCUCAUCUCAUUUAAAGACCACCAAAUCCCUGAAUUCUCCUCUCUCACCCCCAAAUCCUUCCUGAUUCCCCUCAAAUCCAGUAACAUCCCAUGAGUUCACAAGUACUCCUUAAUCCACCACAAAACCAAACACCUCUGCUAGAUAACCUGCAAAUCCUUCCCAAUCCAACCCCACAAUUCCACUGAAGACCCACUCACCCCAAAGCACAUCCACCUCCAAUUUGACCCUACGGGGAUCCCUCCCAGAGUCUCCCUCCUGCUCUUCUGUCUUGCAGCUCCUCAAAAUGGAUUCAAAAUGAUUGCUUUUCUCCCCCCAUCACCUCUCUCCCUUACGUUCCUUCUCUGCUUCUCUCCAUUUCCUUUCUUUUCUUUCUCUUACUCGCUCUUCCUCAUUUUCCUCCCAGUCAUCUUUUAGACUUCUCCUGCAGCAGCCAUAACCUCAAUUUCCCUGGAGGUAGCAGAGAAGGCAAUAACACCAGUGUCAACAUAUCCUUUAUCCCUAGAGCUCAUUCAUUGCUACUAGGAAGUCCCCAAAUUUUGUUGCAGGGCAGUUGAUUAGCUGAAGGUGGAAAGUUCAAUAAAUGGUCUUCUGU